rnacentral:misc_RNA from 1 species
UUGUUCCUGUGUUGCCUUCCCAUCGUGUGGAAAAAUUCGUCAGACAGCCCCGCACCUGUCCUCCUUGUGGCUUUGCGGCUGCAAUGCGGACCUCGAGGGCAGUCCCCGUGUCCCGGACAUAUCCUCUGACUUUUGUCGUGGCUGUCUCGGUCCACAGGACAACUGCUCGUGCUCUCGGAUGUGGAAAAUUAAGCGGACGUGGGGGGGUCUUGGCCUCCGGUUGCUCCAAUCAAGUCCCUCGAUAAGAAUGACUCUCGCUACCUCAUUGAUCGCAGGCCGUCUAGGCCCGUGGCAUCAAUGAUGGUCCGAAGUCGAUAACGAAUGCUACCUGGUUGAUCCUGCCAGUAGUCAUAUGCUUGUCUCAAAGAUUAAGCCAUGCAU